rnacentral:lncRNA from 1 species
CAAGUGAGCGGUGCAUUCCCGCGGCACACAGGAGGCCCCCGGAGGAACCGGAAUUGCCCAUGCCUGGAUCUCCAGCUUCCAGCCUCCAGAAGUGUGGGAAGACAGAUUUCUGUUGUUCAAGCCACCCGGCUUCUGCUUUGAAGCACAGGUCACACACGAGGUAGGUUUGGGAAUGCUGCUUGUGUGUGAGCGCCACGCAGCGCUGCAAGUCGUCCUGGCCCCGAGGCCCCUCCGCCUGACCUGGUCAUCCUGAAAUCAGGGCCCCUCUGGGGCAGGGAGUCCAAGAUCUGAUUGAGCUGCUGCCGGCGGCCUCCUUCCUUCUCGGUGCUGACUCAGCAGCCCGGCCGGGCCUGCCCACCGCACUGGCCUUUUCUGGCGCUCGUUGCCCGCGCUCAGCGACGCAGGGCCCCUGAGGCCGCUGGAAGUCCCCACAGCCGCCCUCCUCCAGGGCUUCCCGGCAGCCCUCUCUGCUGCCGCUGUCCUUCCCC